rnacentral:rRNA from 1 species
UACGUAGGGGGCAAGCGUUGUCCGGAUUUAUUGGGCGUAAAGAGCGUGUAGGCGGUUAGGUAGGUCCGUUGUGAAAACUCGAGGCUCAACCUCGAGACGCCGAUGGAAACCAUCUAACUAGAGUCCGGAAGAGGAGAGUGGAAUUCCUGGUGUAGCGGUGAAAUGCGCAGAUAUCAGGAGGAACACCGGUGGCGAAGGCGGGUCUCUGGGCCGAUACUGACGCUGAGGAGCGAAAGCGUGGGGAGCGAACAGG